CAGCCGUCACGGUAAUACGUAGGGUGCAAGCGUUAAUUGGAAUUACUGGGCGUAAAGCGUGCGCAGGCGGUUUGUUAAGACAGAUGUGAAAUCCCCGGGCUCAACCUGGGAACUGCAUUUGUGACUGGCAAGCUAGAGUCUGGCAGAGGGGGGUGGAAUUCCGCGUGUAGCAGUGAAAUGCGUAGAUAUGCGGAGGAACACCGAUGGCGAAGGCAGCCCCCUGGGCCAACACUGACGCUCAUGCACGAAAGCGUGGGGAGCAAACAGGAUUAGAUACCCCUGUAGUCCCUGUCUCUUAUAC
rnacentral:rRNA from 1 species